rnacentral:rRNA from 1 species
AGAGUUUGAUCCUGGCUCAGGAUGAACGCUAGCGGCAGGCUUAACACAUGCAAGUCGAGGGGCAGCGCGUGAGGUAGCAAUACCUUAUGGCGGCGACCGGCGCAAGGGUGCGUAACGCGUGAGCAACAUGCCGGCAUCAGGGGGAUAAUCCGUGGAAACGCGGUCUAAUACCCCAUAGUCACCUUGGGAGGCAUCUCUUGGGGUGUAAAGCUGAGGCGGAUGCCGAUUGGCUCGCGUGACAUUAGCUAGAUGGUAGGGUAACGGCCUACCAUGGCGACGAUGUCUAGGGGUUCUGAGAGGAAGGUCCCCCACACUGGAACUGAGACACGGUCCAGACUCCUACGGGAGGCAGCAGUGAGGAAUAUUGGACAAUGGAAGUAAUUCUGAUCCAGCCAUGCCGCGUGCAGGAAGAAGGUUCCAUCGAUUGUAAACUGCUUUUGUACGGGAGCAAUAAGGUCCACGAGUGGAUCGAUGAGAGUACCGUACGAAUAAGCAUCGGUUAACUCCGUGCCAGUAGUUGUGGUAAUACGGAGGAUGCAAGCGUUAUCCGGAUUCAUUGGGUUUAAAGGGUGCGUAGGCGGAUAGGUAAGUCAGUGGUGAAAUUUUCGGGCUCAACCCGGAGGCUGCCAUUGAUACUGCCAGUCUGGAAUGGGGAUGCUGCAGGAGGAAUGUGUAGUGUAGCGGUGAAAUGCAUAGAUAUUACACAGAACACCGAUUGCGAAGGCAUCUUGCAAAACCCCAAUUGACGCUGAGGCACGAAAGUGUGGGGAUCAAACAGGAUUAGAUACCCUGGUAGUCCACACAGUAAACGAUGAUGACUAGCUGUCGGGGCUAUGGCUUCGGUGGCCAAGCGAAAGCGAUAAGUCAUCCACCUGGGGAGUACGACCGCAAGGUUGAAACUCAAAGGAAUUGACGGGGGCCCGCACAAGCGGAGGAACAUGUGGUUUAAUUCGAUGAUACGCGAGGAACCUUACCCGGGCUCGAACGGUGCAUGAAUGAUUCAGAGAUGGGUCAGUCCUUCGGGACAUGUAUCGAGGUGCUGCAUGGUUGUCGUCAGCUCGUGCCGUGAGGUGUCGGCUUAAGUGCCAUAACGAGCGCAACCCUUGUCUGCAGUUGCCAUCAGGUAAAGCUGGGGACUCUGCAGAGACUGCCACCGUAAGGUGCGAGGAAGGGGGGGAUGACGUCAAAUCAGCACGGCCCUUACGUCCGGGGCGACACACGUGUUACAAUGGCAGGUACAGAGGGCAGCUACACAGCGAUGUGAUGCGAAUCUCGAAAACCUGUCCCAGUUCGGAUCGGAGUCUGCAACCCGACUCCGUGAAGUUGGAUUCGCUAGUAAUCGCGCAUCAGCCAUGGCGCGGUGAAUACGUUCCCGGGCCUUGUACACACCGCCCGUCAAGCCAUGGGAGCUGGGGGUGCCUGAAGUCCGUAACCGCAAGGGGCGGCCUAGGGCAAAACCGGUGACUGGGGCUAAGUCGUAACAAGGUA